AGACAGCGUUUCCCAAGAAACUGGGAGAGAGAAGCAGAUGUGGAGGUGAGAGGUCAGAAGACAGAAUGAGUCCCGUUCAGUCCAAGGAGCCUGUGAGACAGUCAGCGAAGAUUCCAAGGAGCAGGAGUCUGGAAUCCUUCAAAGAAUUGUCCAGGGGAUGGUAAGACCAAUGAUUGAUUAGCUUCUUAUCUGUGACAAUCCCCAUCUAACCGUGACCUAAACCCAGAGACCCCUGCCAGCUCAGCAGCUCACAGUUCUGGCAGCCUGACUUGUGGUAGGUUAUGCGGAGAGCAAUAGAAAGAGCUUCUCCUCCCUCAGCUCUACUCAGGAUCUUCUGGGAGUGAUGCAUGUGGCCAUA
rnacentral:lncRNA from 1 species